rnacentral:rRNA from 1 species
GAUGAACGCUGGCGGCGUGCCUAACACAUGCAAGUCGAACGAAGCACUUGAGCUUGCUUGAGUGACUUAGUGGCGGACGGGUGAGUAAUGUGUGAGCAACCUGCCCUGGAGUGGGGGACAACGGUUGGAAACGACUGCUAAUACCGCAUAAUGUUCGAAGGAGGCAUCUCUUUUGAACCAAAGAUUUAUUGCUCUGGGAUGGGCUCACAUCUGAUUAGUUUGUUGGUGGGGUAACGGCUCACCAAGACUGCGAUCAGUAGCCGGACUGAGAGGUUGAACGGCCACAUUGGGACUGAGAUACGGCCCAG